UUUUUGGUUUUGAACUUUUGAUAAAGAGAAAGUAGAGGACUCGAGGAACCCUAACGGAUCCAAUUUAUAUAUGUAGCUGCACCCUCUUUCUCUCCAUCGUUCUGGUUUGUGAGUUUUGUUAAUUUUAUCGUUUCAUAUGUUUGGAUUUAGUUUUUUUUUUUAAUCUAGGAGCUCUUGUGUUUGUUCAUGAUGGUUAAUUUUUAAUUGCCUUGCUUGGUUUUCUGAUUGGGAAUGUGGGAUUUGCUGACAUUUAAAAAUCUGGGUUAUAUUCGAUUAUGAUCGAUUUUGAUUUAUUAUUUCUUUCAAAAUCUGGGUUUUUCUUAUGAAUUGGGGAGAAGCAAAUAGGAUGGGUUUUUCUUAUGAAUUGGGGAGAAGCAAAUAGGAUUUUGAAACAGAGGAACCCAGAAAAGGGGGGAUUAGGAUCCGAAAUCUGGGUUUUUCUUAUGAAAUUGGGGAGAAGCAAGUAGGAUUUUGAACCAGAGGAACCCAGAAAAGGGGAGGAUUAGGAUCCAAAAUCUUGGUUUUUCUUAUGAAUUGGGGAGAAGCAAAUAGGAUUUUGAACCAGAGGAACCCAGAAAAGGGGAGGAUUAGGAUCGAUGAUCUCUAGCUGUUCUGUUCUGCAGCUACUACCUUAAUUUUGGAGUUAAAUUUUGCAGACAGUUUCUUGGGACAUUCUCUUUUGAUCUUCUUCUUCUUCUUCUUCUUUGAACUUGUCUGCUCAAUGGCACCAGUAAGUUAUCGUGUUUGUCUGCUCAAUGUUGUGUUCGAUCUUUUCCGUUCUGAGAGGAAAAUAUAAUCGAGUCUAUGCUUGUUGGGUCAUAUAUAGAAGAACUAGAUUGGAUAUAUUUGGUUGGCUUUGUUGAGUGUGUCAGGAAUGCACGGUUCUGCUACCGUGGUAUAGACUCUUUCUAACACUGAUAUGAACAGAAUCGUAUAACACAAGCCCAUUUCCUAGUUUUAUCAAUUCUGCCAUCAUUGGCUAACUAAGUUCUUUUUUAUUGUUUUUGUUUUGAACAAUUGGGUAGUGUAUGUUUAGCAGAAACCCAGAUAAAAGUAGGGUUCUAAACAAGGAUUUUUGGUGGAAGCACAUUUUUGUGUUAUCCCUUUGUGUUAUUGCUGCUGCCCUUUUGUGGUUUGAAAAGAAAGUUUUUGGGCCAAAAAAAAAAGUGUUUAUGGAUAUGUUUGAUUUCAAAGAAGAAGCAAAGUAUCAACUUUUUUCCAGAAUUUGGAAACCUUGUUGGGUGAAAGGUAUAUCCUACUGCAUUUCUAAGCCAUUUGUCUGACCUCAUUGGCUGAAGGGUCUCCCAGGUUUCAAAAGAAACACACGCUAUAUGUCCAAAUUUUCACCAGGGAUCACACUCUGCUCUGUUUAGUAUAUAUUAGGCAAUAGUAUUUGGAGAGAUUUGUUUAGCCUGUGCCUCGAUAUUUUUGAUGACCCUGAAUCCUAUUUUUGCAUUAAAUAUUUCAAUCAGGGCUCACACUCUUAAAGUCUAAACCCUAUUUUUGAUGACCCUGAAGCCUAUAUUUCUGUUGAAUAUUUAAUCAGGUCCUUUUGAUGACCCUGUACCCUAUUUUUGCAUUGAAUAUUUCAUCAGGACUCACACUCUAAACCCUAUGUUUGAUGACCCUGAAAAAAGAAAGAGAGACACCUGGUAGCUUUCCAGAAACCCUUAUUCUUAGUGAAGAAGGACUAUAUAUGUGUGCAUAUAUACAGACACUUGGAGGAGUAGCUGGGUUCACAAGUUUGGGUCAGAUUAUGUCUAGAGUCUAGUGACCCAAAUUUGACUUUUAACAGCAAGUUAAAAAUGUGUACAGGGACCCAAGUUUCAUUUAUCUAGUGGGGUUGAGUAACCAUUUUUCCGGGAAUCUUUUAAUAGUUGUUAUCUCCUUAUAUUCAACACCUGGGGAAUAACAUAUCUUUGGCCUUUUCAUGAUUCACCAAAUCCUUAAGUAAUCAAUGUUAAAGAGAUGGGCCUCAUUUUCACAUCUGGUGGUUGGUAGGCCGUAGGCGUUUAUGCUAAUUUUCUUCAACCCUUUGCGCUCGGACCUUUUGGCUUUUGAGGUGUCGACAAGUACUUUUGGUAAUCUUCCUUGCCUUAAGUUGGGCAAUACAUAACAUUACCAGUAACCUUGUAACUGAGAACUAUUAACAAGAGCCUCUCUAACUAGUUCCGAAAGAAGAAGCUUGUCUAGGCCCAUCCACUAAUCUCAGGUGCCUAAGACUUGUUGGAACUUUCUUCACAUUGAACAUCAUUGUGUGUUCAAUUUCUUUACAAAGUGCUUCGAUUUUCUUUAUAUCCAAUGAGUUCCCAGAAGAAUCUUUAACAUAAAAGGCAUUCAUUGCUUGCUCCUUAAUGGUUGAGGCACCUCCUUUGCAUACAGCUCUAGCCUGAGACUGUCAUUGUAAUUUGAUCUAUUAAAUUGAGCAAGACUGAAGAAGGCAUGUCUCUCUUGUAUCCAAUUCUGUAUGUGUGUGUGCACGCGCACACGUGUGUAUUUUAAAUUAUCCUUCACAAUCAGUUAGUUUAAUGGGUGUAUUUCCAAAAUUAUAUCAAAUGUUGUCGUCAACUGACCUUUUCCUGAAGAACUUCAGCAACUAUAAUUUGUAUAUGGAAUCAAAAGUAAAAGAGCCAACAAAUGAAGUAGAUGUAACACUCAAUUGGUCAUGGCAAAUUUAGGAAUUUCAUCUGCACUAAUGACCACAAAACCUGAAAUAUGCAGAUCUAUUAUACCGUCAUGCUCUGUAACCUUUUUGUAUUGGGCUGUGCAGAUCAAUGUUCCUUUGUCACAUUAUUGUUGAAAAACGCUUACGAUAAUUGACUUCAUACUGCAUAUGUUGCCCCUGAGUUGAAUGAAUGAUUGUUAGGACGCAGUUAUCUGAUAAAUGCAUAUUUUCUUGAUACCAGUGUUUAUAUUUAGUCCUGUUGAAUAAUUUGUUAGUUUAGGAUCACAAUUCCUAUACUAUUAGAAAUAUUUGGUAAUUCCGAAGCAUAGGAUUUGAUUUUAUUGUACACUUGCUAGAGUUUAAUAGCCCCCUACAUCAUACUCUGCAUUUUAUUGUACACUUGCUAGAGUUUAAUAGCCCUCUACAUCAUACUCUGCACUAUCUACAUAUGUGUGUUUCUGUCCCAAGGGGUGUGUGUGUGUGUGUGGGUGGGUGUUGAAUAAUUGUGGGUUCAUUAGGUUUUUGACAAUGAACUUCGUGAAUUGGGCCCGGUUAUAUCUUUCCUUUUUUUUGUAUUCAAAGACCGUUAGUGGUGUGAGGUGAAGGUGACAGGGGAGCCUGCUUUCCUUUCUUGAUUUUCUCUAAUCCAAUGAUAUAAUAUCUUGGCUUUAUUUUUGUGACGGGUGCUGCUCUCCAUUUUUCCUGUCAUCUUUUUUUUUUUCUUGGGCAAUCGCAGCUACCAUCCUAAUUAAAGGUUAUGCUUCUUUUUUUGAAGACUUUUGUUGGAUGGCUCUUACACAGUAUGUUAUUGUUACAGGUUUGAGGUUGCAAGAUGUAGCACAUUUAAAAGAUUUAAUGUCUAAUAGGAUGGCUAAGUGAUAAACUAUUACAUGGUUCUAGUCAGAAUUGUCCCAAUUUAUGUCAAGUAUAUAUAUUCCUCUUUGCUGCUCACUAUUGUGUAGGAGAUAUUUUUGUUCUUGUGUACUUGAGGAAUUCUUGCACAAUUAUUUGUUGGGUGGUCAAUAACACCAACUGAAAAUUUGGCCAAGAUUUCCUAGUGCUUAAUAGGUGAUUUAGUGGUGGUUCAAGGCAUGUGAUCGCUCAUUUGUGCUUUUUCGUAGCUUUAUUUCUCUUGGGAUUGACUGCAGGGCUGAUUUUCUUGGCUGCUUUGGAUUCUCAUCAUUCCGGUUUUUGAUUUUGUUUCUGUUGAUCAGCGAUUCAAGUUUUUGAAGAGGUAUCAAGGAUGCGUCAUGUUAAUCGUGAAAAAGAUUAAUCUAUUCAAAUUAUAUGAAUAUCUAUUUGUAGAUGAAGCUUGUAAAACAAUCGAGUCAAUUCAACUUGUAUAGUUUAUGGUGAUUUCAAUUCCAUUUUUUUUGAGCUAAUUUUGCGUACUUCUGUGUAUAUAUAUUUGUUUCAUGCAAUACAAUCAUUAGCUUGUCAUUUGUU